rnacentral:rRNA from 1 species
GGAGAAAGCUUGCUUUCUUGCUGACGAGUGGCGGACGGGUGAGUAAUGCUUGGGAAUCUGGCUUAUGGAGGGGGAUAACGACGGGAAACUGUCGCUAAUACCGCGUAGUGUCGAGAGACGAAAGUGCGGGACUGAGAGGCCGCAUGCCAUAGGAUGAGCCCAAGUGGGAUUAGGUAGUUGGUGGGGUAAAGGCCUACCAAGCCUGCGAUCUCUAGCUGGUCUGAGAGGAUGACCAGCCACACUGGAACUGAGACACGGUCCAGACUCCUACGGGAGGCAGCAGUGGGGAAUAUUGCGCAAUGGGGGGAACCCUGACGCAGCCAUGCCGCGUGAAUGAAGAAGGCCUUCGGGUUGUAAAGCUCUUUCGGUAUUGAGGAAGGUUGAUGUGUUAAUAGCACAUCAAAUUGACGUUAAAUACAGAAGAAGCACCGGCUAACUCCGUGCCAGCAGCCGCGGUAAUACGGAGGGUGCGAGCGUUAAUCGGAAUAACUGGGCGUAAAGGGCACGCAGGCGGUUAUUUAAGUGAGGUGUGAAAGCCCCGGGCUUAACCUGGGAAUUGCAUUUCAGACUGGGUAACUAGAGUACUUUAGGGAGGGGUAGAAUUCCACGUGUAGCGGUGAAAUGCGUAGAGAUGUGGAGGAAUACCGAAGGCGAAGGCAGCCCCUUGGGAAUGUACUGACGCUCAUGUGCGAAAGCGUGGGGAGCAAACAGGAUUAGAUANCCUGGUAGUCCACGCUGUAAACGCUGUCGAUUUGGGGGUUGGGGUUUAACUCUGGCGCCC